GAGGAAUCUUGGCGCAGGGCAGCCAGCUCUGAUGCCCAGGCGGCUUUGGUAUUUCACAUUGACAUAGUUUUGGGGUGAGACCAGGCUCUGGACUUUCAGUCAUACUGCGGGGUACCUGAGGCCAUGGUGGGCAGAGGGCACUGAACCCGCUGAGCUGAGGGUAGGAGCUCCUGGCUCAACCGCACCUGCCGGUCCUGCGUGGCCUGGAUACUCAGCUGAGAGAUGGGAAUAAGGGAAUUUGGGAAAAGAGAUGACGCAACGGGUGAAAAGGAGCCCCAGGACCCUGCCCCCAAGGCUGGCCGUCCAGGGAACCCUGGCCGACAACACCUGUCACCCAGGCAUGCUCAGCUUGGAAUCAGGUGAGAGUUCAGGUCUCUGCCAAUGGCUGGGCCCCCUCCCUGCAGGACCAUUUUCACUGGGGUCACCCACGGCCCCCCAGAGCCCCAUUUGGCAAGGACUGUCUUCAAAAACCGCUCUCUCGGGUAAACAGUGGCGUCUACUGGUUGUAGGUGCAACACAACUCCCGAGGAAUGAGUUCCUGGAAAAAUCCGGAGCAGAGAAGCUUUGGACAGUGUGUGUUUCUUUGUUGGUAAAUAAUCUCCACUAAGCGAGCUUGGCAGCCCUGCGGGCGCACCCGGGACAGGUGCUCUGGGCCUGGGCCUGUCCUCCGCACAAGAGCUGGACUCUAACCCUCCGCCCCACUGGGACCCAUGGAGGUGGAGGGGCGGCUCAGGACUCCGGCCCCGGAUGGGGCCAGGCCACUGUCCUGGGCCUGCAGAAGCCCACGGACAGCAGCCAAAUCCCAGCCAAGCCCAAGCCUCCCGGAGACUGCAGGCCGCCGGCAGGAAAUGUGCCUGCGCCUGGGAAAGCCAUCGUCCCCUCCCCGCCACCAGGCGCCUGGAUGCCCCGCCUCCGGCGAGCGGGGCUGUGAACUCGGCUGUGAACUGCCCGCUUCUGGCUCCUUCGCCACCUCCUGUCAACCCCCUCUACCACCUCAUUCGGAGGACAGAA
ensembl:lncRNA